UGCUAUGGUGGUGGACUGGGGAACUUGAGCCUGAAGCCAAGGUUAAGACAUUGUUAUAGCCAGAGGACUUUGAACUUUUGUGUUUCUUCUUUGCUUUCCCGCCUCUUGAAGAGUGUGACAAUGCUGUUCUGUGCUGUAAGAAGGACCAGCAGGCAAAGUGGCUCUGAGACACCUUGAGUUGACACGAAUGGCUGAAUAGGACACUGACUAAACUGGAAAGCAGUAAUUAAAAGGAUUGUGCUUGGUUAUGUUUGUGUUCCCUUUUCUAUAUUGUCCUCAUACUUAGAAACAGAUGUAAUUAUGGACACAAUAUUCAAAAGAAAGCAGUACUCCAGAACUGAAUUUUUAAUUGGUUCACAUAUGUGCAAAAAAAUUCUUUUCACUGUGUAGUGUGCAAAAUAUUUACAUACUUUAUGGACAUAAUUUUUAACACCACUUUUCAUUUGCUCAUUUUUAUUUUGAUGAUGAAUUUUAUAGGAAGACCACAAAGCAAGCAAAAGAAAACAAGAACUAGAUGAAGUACUGUUAUAUGUGAAGUUUCAUAUUUGGCCAGAUGAGAUUAAUGGACCUGGCCUGUGGCUCAUACAUUACCCUCCCUAGCUAGCCAGAAAUGAAAUGUCAUGUGCUUCAACUUAUACUUUAUUGUUUUUAAUUUAUCACCUAUCUUUGGAAAGGACAGAGAAUCAAUGUCAUUCCAUCAGGCUGUAUCUUUUAUUUCAUGACUGUGAACCCUGACUAGGCUGGUCUUUGAUGAAACACUUCAUGUUAAAUACUCAACCAACAGAUGAGAACAUGUCUUCUGGGUCUAAGGAGCCAAUAGUAUACAGACAGUAAUUAAUGACUAUAGAUUUACAGACUAAAGGUGUGAUGAGAACCAACAGGUUGACUGUACCAGAAGACACUGCUGGUGAAGGAGAAAAGGACACACGGCACUGACAGCAUUUCAGAGUCUGACCUCUUUCUGGAUGAUAUAGCACGAAGAUUAUUUAGGCUGGCAAAGCAAGAAGAAAAAGCGUAACCAAACUGCAUUUAUGGAUCUAUU